rnacentral:rRNA from 1 species
GAUUGAACGCUGGCGGCCGGCCUAACCCAUGCAAGUCGAGCGGAUGAAGGGAGCUUGCUCCUGGAUUCAGCGGCGGACGGGUGAGUAAUGCCUAGGAAUCUGCCUGGUAGUGGGGGAUAACGUCCGGAAACGGGCGCUAAUACCGCAUACGUCCUGAGGGAGAAAGUGGGGGAUCUUCGGACCUCACGCUAUCAGAUGAGCCUAGGUCGGAUUAGCUAGUUGGUGGGGUAAAGGCCUACCAAGGCGACGAUCCGUAACUGGUCUGAGAGGAUGAUCAGUCACACUGGAACUGAGACACGGUCCAGACUCCUACGGGAGGCAGCAGUGGGGAAUAUUGGACAAUGGGCGAAAGCCUGAUCCAGCCAUGCCGCGUGUGUGAAGAAGGUCUUCGGAUUGUAAAGCACUUUAAGUUGGGAGGAAGGGCAGUAAGUUAAUACCUUGCUGUUUUGACGUUACCAACAGAAUAAGCACCGGCUAACUUCGUG